AUGUUGGCCAUUAGUCUUGGCACAUGCUUUGACCACCAUCGACUCAUGUUAGGCCACACACCAAGAACGUGUAUGUUGGGUCUAGCUUGAGAAUCUGUCACCUUCAGCUUCCUAAUUGUAGUAUGGAGAAGUGGCCCUAAUGGUGAAUCGAGCCCUAAUCCCUUGGAAAGGGGUGCCAGAGAGGGUGAGAGCCUUGUUGUGCUUGGACUUGUUGCAUGCACCAUAAGGCACUACCUAUGAGUUGGGUUGUUUGGGAAUUCAGCCUUAUUUAAGUAAUAAAUUUCAUCCAAGGCUGAAUAAAAGCAAGAGCAUGAUAGUGAACAAGUAUAAUAAGGGAAAGAUGAAAAGGACUUUGGAAAAAGAGUCAAAGAGAGUUUGAAAUUGUCAGAAGGGAAGUGGAUGGGGGUUAAUGAUGCACCUCGAUCAGAUGUGAAAUGGUGAGAAAUGGUUAGCCAAUCAGCUCGAGGCAUGGAACAACGCAAGUUGCAAUGAUGGUCCAAGCCUAGGCUUUUGAUAUGCCCACAAUGAUGUGAUCAUGAUGAUCAUGGAAUACAACACACAUCAUCUUGGCAUGCCUUGGCAUUAGUGUGCUCCUAGCAUUAGUCUGUGGGCUCCCCAUUGGGCCCAUCUUGAAACAUAAACCAAUGAGUCUAACAUGUGCAUGAGUCAACGAUCUAGAUAACCUAUAUGGUGCAAGAAAGCUGAUUGGUAGGAUCUCUUGUGGGUGCACCACCAAUCGACCUUGAUCUUUUGAAAAAGGUUCGAGUGUGAGCAUGCCUGUUAGGACCCAAAAAGAUGGUGAACUAUGCCUAAGUGAGGUGAAGCCAAAGGAAACUUUGGUAGAGGCCCGCAAUGAUAUUGAUGUGAAAAUCAUUCAUUUGACUUGGAUAUAGGGGUGAAAGACUAAUUGGACCAUCUAAUAGCUGGUUCCCUCCAAAGUUUCCCAUAGGAUACCUGGAGGCCUUAGCGAGUUCUAUCGGGUAAAGCCAAUGAUUAAAGGCAUUGGAAGCGCAAUGCCUUUGACCUAUUCUCAAACUUUAAAUAGGUAGGAUGAUGUGACUUCUUUAUUGAGCCAUGCCAUAGAAUCGAAAGCUCCAAGUGGGCUAUUUUUGGUAAGUAGAAUUGGUAAUGCAGGAUGAACUGAAAGCUGGGUUACGGUGCCUAACUGCACGCUAACCUAGAACUUAUAAAGGGUGUUGGUCAAUUAAGAUAGCAAGACGAUGGUCAUGGAAGUUGAAAUCCACUAAAAAGUGUGUAACAACUCACCUACCAAAUCAACUAGCCUCGAAAGUGGAUGGCAUGACGGUCAGCACAAAACCCGAGGCAUGACUCCGAUGAGGCAACCAUUAGUGCAGAUCUUAGUGGUAGAAGCAAAUAUUCAAAUAUGAACUUUGAAGGCCAAAAAGGAGAAAGGUUCCAUGUCAAUAGCACUUGCAGAUGGAUUAGUCAAACCUAAGAGACGCGAAAAGCCUAUUCGAUAGCACAUCCAAUGUAAGCUUUGAAACCUAAUUAGGGUAAAAUUUUUGAACCAAGAUGUGGUGGCUGAUGAAAACAUUAGGCAGUUUGGAGACAUCGCUAGGGACCUCGAGAAGAGUUAUUUUUUCUAUUUAAUAGCCUACCCAUCCUAGAAAUAUCUUAGUCAAAGGUAGGAUCCAGUGGCUUGAAAAGCACCACACAUCAUGUGGUUUUUGGUGCACCCUUGGUGGCCCUUGAAAAUUUGGAGGUCCAAGUGCCACUAAUGCCCAACUGUACUUAUAACUUCAUUAGGUCUGCAAGGUGAAUAGCUUUUGGUCAAUGGAACAAUAUAGGUAAGGGAAAAUGACAAAAUGGAUCUGUAACCUUGAGAAAAGGAUUGGCUCUGAGGAUUGGGCAUAGGGUCCCAGUCUUGAACCCAUUGACUGCUAGUGCACUACUUGAAUUGCUCUCAUGAUGAGAACAGGUCACCGUGUGCCAACCAGGGGAUGGACUAGAAAUGGCUCUCUCAAAGGCCUUCAUUGGGUGAGGAACAAUCAGCUCAAAACUAGUAUGGACAAGGGAAAUCUAAUUGUUUAAUUAAAACAAAGCAUUGCAAUGGUCCUUGCGGAUGGUCACACAAUGUGAUUUUUGCACAGUGUUCUAAACGUCAAUGUGAAGAAAUUUAGCCAAGUAGGGGUAAAUGGCUAGAGUAACUAUGACUCUCUUAAGCUAGCCAAAUGCCUUAUGACUACUAUCAAACAAUCAGUGAUGCCCAUGAAUGGAUUAAUGAGAUUCCCAUAGUCUUUAUCUACUAUCCAACAAAGCCAAAGCCAAGGGAAUGAGCUUGGUAGAAUCAGUGGGGAAAGAAGGCCUUUUUGAACUUGACUCUGGUAUAACUUUGUGAAAUGACUAGAGAGGUGUAGGAUAAGUGGGAGCCCUGGUGCAAAAUUGAAGUAACACUACUUUUAAGGUUAUUUUACUUAUUCCAUGAAUUGCAAGUGGGGCAUUUCUCUUUCUUUUGGACUCAAGGUCAGCCUCAGUCAGUUGAUCUAGGCAGAAAACAUUGUCAAGUGAAGAGUUUGGUUGGGGCGGCAUAUCUGUUAAAAGAUAAUGCAAGUGUUCUAAGAUGAGAUCAACAAGAAUAGAAAUCUCAUGUGGAACAAAAAAGGUAAAAGCUUGUUUGAUUUUGAUUUCAGGUAUGAAUAAGAACCGUUAAAGCAUGGCCUACAGAUCUUUUAGACCUUCAAAAUUUAAAGCUAGAGGUGAAAAGUUACCAUAGGGAUAACUAGCAUAUGGCAGCAAAGCAUUUAUAAUAAUGUUACGUUUUGAUCCUUCGAUGUCGACUCUUCCUACCAUUGUGAAGUAAAAUUCACCAAGAGUUGGAUUGAUCACCCACUAAUAGGGAAUGUGAACUGGGUUUAGAUCAUCAUUAGACAGGUUAGUUUUAUCCUACUAAUGGUAGUGUCACAAUAAUAAUUCAACUUAGUAUGAGAAGAACAGUUGAUUCGCACGAUUGGUCAUCGCCCUUGGUUAAAAAGCUAGUGGCACGAAGCAACCAUGCCCUGCAUUAUGACUAAAUGCCUCUAUGUCAUAAUUUGGGCUAGAAGCGAUGCAUGUGCCCAUCGUCUAAUUGU
rnacentral:rRNA from 1 species